rnacentral:lncRNA from 1 species
GUCAACCACAUAUCAUGCACUGUCACAUUCAGAGCACAUACAGGUUUUACACAAGUGCACAGCUGGUUCCUUAAGUGUCUGCCAUGAAACAUUACUUGUGCCGGACCAUCCUCUAUUUGCUGAUCUUCGCAGUUCUCAUUAUCACUCCGGAUGCUCAGAGUGACUCUGAGUGUUCCACAGAAAUCAGAGUACGUCUCAACACAGUUCAUAAUGCCUCAGUUGGACAACAAUUUAGGAUUAAUUGCACAGUUAUUUUUUGCAAUGAUUCACCACCAACAGUCUCCUGGUAUAAAGUUGAGGAAACUGGUGUCCCCGUCAAUGUCAGCAGUGACAGUCACAUUAAAACAGAGUGGAAACAUUUAAACAAGUCAGCAGGGAUCUUCUAUUUGAUCUUCCAAAGCAUUGUCAGAAGUGACUCUGGUCAGUAUCAGUGUCAAGAUGGACCGACUAUGGGUCAUGCCAUCACUGUCAAUGUCUAUGAUAAUGUGAAGCUCACCACAGCUUCGUGGACAACUUUGGCACCAGUGAAUACAACUUCUGCUGACACUUUCUGGCCAGUCAUAUACCGUGUUGUUGGGAGCGUGGUGUUUGUCACCGUAAUAAUAUUAAUAUGUGUUACAUCAAAGCGAGGGUGCAAAGGAAAACCGAGGAAGACAACAAAACCAAGUCAGGAGCUCUACACUCAUAUCUAUGACAAUGAUGUAUGAUGACGAUCCUCAUGUCUGAAAUGCUCUGAAAUCAGUCUGUGAAGCUCAGUUUAUUAUAAUCAGCAUAUUUUACUGAUGUGUGAGCUAAGUCUUGCUACAAUUUAUUCUUUAAAUCUACUGGCUUCUCACUGGUGUGUGUUACCGUGUACCCAGUUUAGCAUUUUUUGAAUUCCUGUAAAUCAAUUCAAACUGUAGAAGUGAGAUUUCCUACUUGAGAAACCACUAUUGUUUAGUCUGCAAAGACUGCGGGUGCAUGUAUGUGUGUGCGUAAGUGUGCACGUGUGUACGUGCGUGUGUGUGGUGUAUGACACAUUGGAAAGGUAAUAGUUUUGCUUCCUGUACAGGUAACAGUUUUGCACACAUCCUGUGCAAAUAGGACCUUUGACUGUAUUUAUGAUUGAAUUAGUGUGUUUGCAUCGCUGCUCUCUGUCGUUUAUGAUUAAAGAAGCUUUUCUUCUUUGGUCUUUGAGUGUCUUUGCAUUUGGGAGCAGGAAGUAGAAUUGAACCACACACCACAUGAGCAUAUGUGAAGACAACGGCUCAAAUGGUUUUACAGAAGAAGAAAAGGAAGAUGUAACUCAUAAAGUUAUCCUUCCACUCAUUAUCCC